GGGCCUAUAGCUCAGUCGGUUAGAGCACACGCCUGAUAAGCGUGAGGUCGGUGGUUCAAAUCCAUUUAGGCCCA
rnacentral:tRNA from 1 species